rnacentral:rRNA from 1 species
AUUGAACGCUGGCGGCAGGCCUAACACAUGCAAGUCGAGCGGGGUUUUCGGACCUAGCGGCGGACGGGUGAGUAAUGCGUAGGAAGCUGCCCGAUAGAGGGGGAUACCAGUUGGAAACGACUGUUAAUACCGCAUAAUGUCUACGGACCAAAGUGUGGGACCUUCGGGCCACAUGCUAUCGGAUGCGCCUACGUGGGAUUAGCUAGUUGGUGAGGUAAUGGCUCACCAAGGCGACGAUCUCUAGCUGGUUUGAGAGGAUGAUCAGCCACACUGGAACUGGGACACGGGCCAGACUCCUACGGGAGGCAGCAGUGGGGAAUAUUGGACAAUGGGCGCAAGCCUGAUCCAGCCAUGCCGCGUGUGUGAAGAAGGCCUUCGGGUUGUAAAGCACUUUCAGCGAGGAGGAAGGGGUGUGUGUUAAUAGUACACACCUUUGACGUUACUCGCAGAAGAAGCACCGGCUAACUCUGUGCCAGCCGCCGCAGUAAAAC